rnacentral:tRNA from 1 species
AGUGGGUUGGCAGAGUUGGUCUAAUGCGCUCGACUGCUAAUCGAGAGUUCCGAAAGGGGCACAAGGGUUCGAAUCCCUUACCCACUGA